GACGAACGCUGGCGGCGUGCUUAACACAUGCAAGUCGAACGGAAAGGCCCUGCUUUUGUGGGGUGCUCGAGUGGCGAACGGGUGAGUAACACGUGAGUAACCUGCCCUUGACUUUGGGAUAACUUCAGGAAACUGGGGCUAAUACCGGAUAGGAGCUCCUGCUGCAUGGUGGGGGUUGGAAAGUUUCGGCGGUUGGGGAUGGACUCGCGGCUUAUCAGCUUGUUGGUGGGGUAGUGGCUUACCAAGGCUUUGACGGGUAGCCGGCCUGAGAGGGUGACCGGCCACAUUGGGCCUGCGAUACGGCCCAGACUCCUACGGGAGGCAGCAGUGGGGAAUAUUGCACAAUGGGCGGAAGCCUGAUGCAGCAACGCCGCGUGCGGGAUGACGGCCUUCGGGUUGUAAACCGCUUUCGCCUGUGACGAAGCGUGAGUGACGGUACUGGGUGAAGAAGCACCGGCUAACUACGUG
rnacentral:rRNA from 1 species